AUGAAGACAGCAGGAGAGUGGCGAGUGCUAGUGUGCAAACUAGUCGCGAGCCCGCCGAAGAAGUAAGCUGGCUAUCCCGUUUGCAGCCAAUGCAAACAAUGGCAAGUAAAUCUUUCAGGCACCUUACUCAGUUGAAAA
rnacentral:ncRNA from 2 species